UAACUCACAGAGAGAAUGAUGCUGCCUGUGGAACAGAGUCGGAGCUGGCUUUUAUGGAACCUAUUGUCACUUUGAUUAUACACUGUCUAGGACAGGACUGAGGCCCACAUAAUACCAAGCAUACCACAAAUACAAAAAGUGGCAUAGAGGGAAAAAGAGGUCAAAUUAAACAUCAAGGUAGCUAAAAGGAAAAUUGUGUCCGCUGCUCUAAUAUCACAAUCCCAAGGAGAACUGCAGACAUUUGUCCUCGAGUUCCUCAGGUUGCCAGUAAUGAUGUUUCUGGUGAUCUGGCUCAGAAGGCUGAGCUGAUGAGUGAUCACUCAGAAAUACUGAAUCAGGC